rnacentral:lncRNA from 1 species
UUUUUUUUUUUUGUAGCAGCCCAAAGUGACUAAAACAGACAGCUGCACUAGGCUAUAGGGUCACUUGGAAAGAAAGCCAUGAGAAAGUCUGUAAGAAGAAUUGGAGAUAAUGAGUAACAGCAGAAGAUGAUCCCAGAACUUGGCCUGGGAGGACAGGGAGAUAUGACUGUGCAGGGCUGAGUCUUUUUCUGUAUUCUUCUCUAUUUUCUUCAGUCAUCUAACUAAUAGCCUCUUGGUGAUUCCCUUCUCUCCAGUCUCUCCUGAUUUAUCACAAUCAAUCUUGCAUAUUGUCAGGCAGAAAACUAAGAACUUAGGGAUAAAGGUAGUAUUUUUCCUCUCUUAUUCUAGUGCAUACUAGAAACAGAGCAUAUAGGAGCAUACAGGAAACAGAUGCUGUGAAUUUGCUGGUUAAAAUUUUGGAACAUGCUUUAUAAUACUACAAUAGACAUCUCUUGGCAAAGGACAAAGAGCUUAUCUGUAAAUGACUUUUAGAACAUGUUAAUUUUAUAGGAGAUUCAUCAAACUGAUAAGGAGUUCUAAACACAGAGAGCAAAUUGAUGGUUGCCAGAGGGAAAAGGGGUGAGGAGUUGCAUAAAAUGGGUGAAAGGAAGUGGGAGACACAGGCUUUCAGUAAUGGAAUGAAUAAGUCACAAGAAUGAAAGGCAUAGCAUAGGGAGUAUAAUCAAUGAUAUUGUAAUAGUGAUGUAUGAAGACAGAUGGGCUAUGUUUCUGGUGAACAAAGCAUAAUGUAUGAACUUGUCAGAUCACUAGGUUAUACGCCUGAAGCUAAUGUAACAAUGUGUGUAAAAUGUACUCAAAUAAUAAAAUUGAAUUAGGAAAAGAUUAGAGAAAAAAAAAAACUGCUGGUAAAACUAAAUACCAAAGUGGCCAAGAUGCAUGACUUGGAAAAAUACUGUCUAGUCAUUUUCAAGUGACAAGGUAAGACUAGUAGUGCAAGAUCUAUCUUAAGUCUUCAGCUGUCUAUAUAUAAUACACAAAAUAGCGGGCACAAAGUUCACAUGAACAAUUUCAGUAUAAUUAAACUGAAAUUGAAAAUAACAAACUGAGGCGGGGAAAGAUGGCGGAAGAAUAGGGUCCCCAAGUCACCUGUCCCCACCAACUUACCUAGAUAACUUUCAAAUCAUCCUGAAUACCUACAAAUUCAACCUGAUAUUUAAAGAGACAACAGCUAGAAUACUAGAGUGAGAAGAGUUUGCGCUUUUAUCAAUGUAGGAAGACCGGAAAAAAUAAGAAAUAAAAAAGCACCCAAGGGGGAGGGGUCCCCACAAGGAACCGGGCUAAGGCCCGGCAGCAAGUACCACCAGGACAGGAAAGCCCCUUCCCAGAGAAGCAGAAGCUUUUUUUUAAUGUUAAGCAAAACGUAUAUUAAUACUAAUAAAUAUUAACAUCACAUACAUUUUUCCUUGUAAAAUGUGUAGAACAGAAGAUGAAAUCCAUCCACAUGACAGCACACACCAUCAUACUAGGUUAUAGGAAAUAUUACAUAUAUACGUAUAUUUUUUUCUUUUAAGAUUUAAUUUUUCAGUAAUCUCUACACCCAGGUGGGGCUCAAACCUACAAGCCAAAGAUCCAGAAUCCCACCCUCUAGUGACUGAGUCAGCCAGGGCCCCAAUAGAUGGAUGUUUUCUUUUUUAAAAUUUAUUAUUUUAUUGGUGUUCAAUUUGAAAACAUAUAUAUAAACAUAUAUAAACAUAUAUUGGUGUUCAAUUUGAAAACACCCAGUGCUCAUCCCAUCAAGUGCCCCCCUCAGUGCAGGUCACCCAGUCACCCCCAUUCCACACCCAACUCCCUUUCUACCACCACUUGUUCGUUUCCCAGAGUUAGGAGUCUCUCUUGUUUUGUCUCCUUUUCUGAUAUUUCCCACUCGAUUUUUCUCCUUUCCCCUUUAUUCCAUUCCACUAUUUUUUAGAUUCCCCAAAUGAAUGAAACCAUAUAAUGUUUGUCCUGCUCCGAUUGACUUAUUUCACUCAGCAUAAUACCCUCCAGUUCCAUCCAUGUCGAAGCAAAUGGUGGGUAUUCGUCAUUUCUAAUGGCUGAGGAAUAUUCCAUUGUAUACAUAGACCACAUCUUCUUUUUUUUUUUUAUAAGACUUUUUUUUUUAUUUAUGAUAGUCACAGAGAGAGAGAGAGAGGCAGAGACAUAGGCAGAGGGAGAAGCAGGCUCCAUGCACCGGGAGCCUGAUGUGGGAUUCGAUCCCGGGUUUCCAGGAUCGCGCCCUGGGCCAAAGGCAGGCGCCAAACUGCUGUGCCACCCAGGGAUCCCUAGACCACAUCUUCUUUAUCCAUUCAUCGUUCAAAGGACACCGAGGCUCCUUCCACAGUUUGGCUAUCGUGGCCAUUGCUGCUAUAAACAUCGGGGUGCAGGUGUCCUGGCGUUUCAUUGCAUUUGUAUCUUUGGGGUAAAUCCCCAACAGUGCAAUUGCUGGGUCGUAGGGCAGGUCUAUUUUUAACUCUUUGAGGAACCUCCACACGGUUUUUCCAGAGUGGCUGCACCAGUUCACAUUCCCACCAACAGUGCAAGAGGGUUCCCUUUUCUCCGCAUCCUCUCCAACAUUUGUGGUUUCCUGCCUUGUUAAUGUUCCCCAUUCUCACUGGUGUGAGGUGGUAUCUCAUUGUGGUUUUGAUUUGUAUUUCCCUGAUGGCCAGUGAUGCGGAGCAUUUUCUCAUGUGCUUGUUGGCCAUGUCUAUGUCUUCCUCUGUGAGAUUUCUGUUCAUGUCUUUUGCCCACUUCAUGAUUGGAUUGUUUGUUUCUUUGCUGUUGAGUUUAAUAAGUUCUUUAUAGAUCUUGGAUAC